UGGAAUGACCUCUGUACCAAGUACCAUCCCACCACAAGAUCCCACCAUCUUCGUGGUGAGAUGAGUUAUCCUUCUAGUUCCAUCUCUGCCUGGCCUGGCUGAAGUAUCACAGGGAAGAAUCUCACAUCUGUACCUUUGAUCACUUCAUGUUCUCACCUGGGACCCAGAGAAACAGGAGCCCAAAGAAAAGAUGGGGCAAUGAUCGCGUCUUGCUGUGGCUGAUCUCGUUGGGGCUGCUCUGGCCUACCUCCAGUCUAUUUACCUCUGGCUACAGGACUUGCCUUUGGGGACUCUUUAUGCAAAGUCCCUGGGGUGAGUGGAAGUUAUAUGAAAAGAAUAGAGUAAUUCUAGUUCUAAGGAAGAUUCUGAGACUUUGUUACCCUGAAGAGGCUUUUCCUCCGGAGAUCUCCAUGGGAUGUGCUGGUGCUGAGCAGGGAUUUGGGGCUUCUUACCAGGGAUUCACUGAUUGCUCUAGCAGCUGCCAUAGACCAAGAAUGACUGAUAUCUUGGCAGGGAUCCAUCAUACUGCCCCAAAUGCAGAAGAAAUGAGUACAGAAAGAGAAGACAGAGGGCUAAGGAUACCUUAGCCUCUUUUGGGAAAGACUAACUCAAGCCUGCCAAGGAUAUUUGGGCAAAGAUUGUCAGCCUGGGAGUGUGACCUGGCUAAGUGUCACUUCUACCACUUUGUAGCUGCGUGACUUUGAUCAGAUUACUAAACCUCUCUGAGUUGGCAAAAUGAUGGAAAAUAUCCAACAGAAUGAAGGAGUCUCUGACUUGGAAGGACAUGAUGAAUGUAUCUAAUCUAACCCUCUCCCUAAUAUAUGACUGAACCCACAGGACUUAAAGUAUGGAUCAGAAGAACUAAAGUACAGAAAAACUUUUAUUAUCCUAAGGCACCAGAUCAACCGAAAUUAUUGUAAUUUUCCCUUUUCCAUAUGGGUGCCAAAUUGAUAUUCAUUAAAUCUGAUCAUGUCACUCUCUCAAAAAUCUUUAUUGGCUUCCUAUUGACUCUAGGAUAAAACAGAAAAUCCUCACCCUAGCAUUUAAUGUUCUCCACAAUAUGGCUCCCUCCUACCUUCCCAGUCUUAAGCCAUAUUAACCAGCUUUGUGUCCUCUCUGUUCUAGUAAAGCCAGCAUGCCAGCUCUUCCUGCACAUGGCCUCCCAUCACUUAUUGCCAGGCCUUCGCACAGGUGGCCCCCUCAGAUAGCUAUGCAGGCCCUCCCCACCUCUACCAGGCAGAAUCCCCAGCUUCCUUUGAAGCCCAGCUCAGCUUCCAUCUCACUGGGGAGACCUGUGCUACUCCUCCAAUAUAUGUUUCCUUUCCCUCUUAAAAUUACUCUGUAGACACCAGUUGCCUUAUCCCCAAAUGAAUGUUAAAUUCCACAAGGGCAGGAGCUACUAGGGAAUGGUCAUUGAGUCCAUGGCUUCUUGCACAUAAUAGAUGCUUAGUUUUGUUGUUUCUUUUUUUUUCAUUUAGUAUGUUUGUUAACUUAUGAUUAAACCCUCUGAUAGGAUGGGGACCCUACCUCUUGGUGAGUGGUAGACUAGGAGCCUGAGUACUGGAGGCCUGUGUCAUGAGCUAAGAGAUGAUGGGUCAGGGGAGACAGUUCUACCUGGGGAGGGUUAGGAGGACUGUGAUCCAGGAAAGCCUAGGGCGCAAGAAACUUCAGGGAUAUCAUGUGACCAGAAACUGACCAGAUCCUGCCUCCAAGUCCUCCAGUGGGGGAGGAUUAAGCAAGGCCAGCAGAUUCAGGAAGCUGGAGUCUGGGAAUGAAGGGUUUUUGAAGUCAGCCUUCUCUGAAGCUGGUUCUAUUCUCCCCUGUUCUGGCCACAUUCUUGGUCUGAAAAUUUUGUCCACAGUUUCCCAAGCUAUAUUAUCCCUCCUUCCACAUGUUUCAAAUACAAUUCAAGUUGGCUUUAGCCAUUAGAACUAGAGCUAGUUGUCAGAUAAUUGGUGUCCUCUGACCAGAGGUAAAAGUGAUUGGAAUUCAGAAGGGAUUUGGAGGGCUUCCCAUCAGGGAUUUGUGCCCAGAAAUGCCUGUGAUACUUUGGAGGCUCUUUAAGGGUGUAUACCUGAAAUCUGAGGCCAUUCCUAGGUAAAGUCUUCCCCAGAGCCUGCCCACACCAUUGCCAAGCAAUGAUUGAAAUCCUCAAGUUUAGUCCACUUUGGUUGAUCUGAUAAAAUGGAAUCUCAGGACAUCUAGCCUGCUGCCUACUAUACAUCAGGUGCUCAAUAAAUGCUUUUGAGUUGAAUUGAACUGAUUUGAAUCUUGCAGCAAUUAUCUCCCUUACAACAGAUUUUCUUCUCAAUCAAAACAAUAUCCAACUUUCAUCCAUUGCCACCCUUAUUCCAAAUGCUGCUGAGUGCAGCAAAGCUCCAUUGCAACUAAAGGCUGUAAACUGUCCCAGGAAAUUUGGCUUGUAGGAUUCAGCUUGAGGUCAUGCAGCACAAGGGGGCUCUCUGGCUGUGGGCUCAGGGAUUCCUUCUGUCCACCAAGGGCUGCAGAGAAUCCAUCUAUGGGACCAGUGAGCUGACUAGAAUGUAACCAGGAGAAGAACAAUGAUGCCCACUCCUGGUCCGAGGGUGGAGAGACAGGAGGCAUUCUUCAUUUUCCUCAUCCUUUUUCCAAGUUCCAGCAACAGGGAGGGUUAGAGCUAGA